rnacentral:misc_RNA from 1 species
CCAGUGUGUCAUUGGUACUGCU